AACGAACGCUGGCGGCAUGCCUAACACAUGCAAGUCGAACGAGACCUUCGGGUCUAGUGGCGCACGGGUGCGUAACGCGUGGGAACCUGCCCUUAGGUUCGGAAUAACUCCCCGAAAGGGGUGCUAAUACCGGAUAAUGUCUUCGGACCAAAGAUUUAUCGCCUUUGGAUGGGCCCGCGUUGGAUUAGCUAGUUGGUAGGGUAAAAGCCUACCAAGGCGACGAUCCAUAGCUGGUCUGAGAGGAUGAUCAGCCACACUGGGACUGAGACACGGCCCAGACUCCUACGGGAGGCAGCAGGGGGGAAUAUUGGACAAUGGGCGAAAGGCUGAUCCAGCAAUGCCGCGUGAGUGAUGAAGGCCUUAGGGUUGUAAAGCUCUUUUACCCGGGAUGAUAAUGACAGUACCGGGAGAAUAAGCCCCGGCUAACUCCGUG
rnacentral:rRNA from 1 species